CCUUCCUACGGGAGGCAGCAGUGAGGAAUAUUGGUCAAUGGGCGGAAGCCUGAACCAGCCAAGUCGCGUGAGGGAAUAAGGCCCUACGGGUCGUAAACCUCUUUUGCCGGGGAGCAAGGGCCGGGACGAGUCCCGGUCCGGAGAGUACCCGGAGAAAAAGCAUCGGCUAACUCCGUGCCAGCAGCCGCGGUAAUACGGAGGAUGCGAGCGUUAUCCGGAUUUAUUGGGUUUAAAGGGUGCGUAGGCGGGCUUUUACGUCAGCGGUAAAGAUUAGGGGCUCAGCCCCGUCCGGUCGGUGCAACUGG
rnacentral:rRNA from 1 species